rnacentral:misc_RNA from 1 species
UGUUGGGAUAGUUGGCUCCGUGCAUUUGCAUCGAACUUCUAGACCGCAUCCUUUUCAUAGCUCAAGCAAAAAAAAUAUUGCUUGAUGGUCGGUUGCGUUCCUGUAUUCGGUACCCAGGUUAGUGGUAUGACGCUUAUGUUUUGUCUCUGUCCAUCGGUGCCCUUUUAAGGGCAUCGAGUGGAGCACGUAGUUUGGUCUGCCAAACCUCGCAAGCUGUUUUUGCUACGACGGUUGUUGGAUCAAAGCUUGUGUUCUCGGAUGCGGAAAAUAAUAUGGGUCCAAGGAUUUAGUCCUUGUAUUAGGCCUAUAUCGGAAAUCGUCCCUUGAUAAGAACGACAUCCUUUGUGCGUUAUGAUUUUGUCCGAUGCCCGUUUGGGCAGAGGAUGCAUCGUGCGUGCAUCGGUGUCAUCGAAGGAAUGCUACCUGGUUGAUCCUGCCAGUAGUCAUAUGCUUGUCUCAAAGAUUAAGCCAUGCAUGUG